UACGUAGGGCGCAAGCGUUGUCCGGAAUUAUUGGGCGUAAAGAGCUCGUAGGCGGUUUGUCGCGUCUGCUGUGAAAACCUAAGGCUCAACCUUGGGCUUGCAGUGGGUACGGGCAGACUAGAGUGCGGUAGGGGUGACUGGAAUUCCUGGUGUAGCGGUGGAAUGCGCAGAUAUCUGGAGGAACACCGGUGGCGAAGGCGACAUCCUGGACCAACACUGACGCUGAGGAGCGAAAGCCAGGGGAGCAAACGGG
rnacentral:rRNA from 1 species